GUUUCUGUAGUUGAGUAACAACGGUGGUUUUUCAAGUCAUUAGUCCCGGUUAAAGUCCGAGCGGAAACU
rnacentral:tRNA from 1 species